GACAGAGACAAGAUGGUCAUCUGGGUUCCUGGAAGCUGAAUGCGGAGGGGCUUGCUGGCCGCGCCGAGGCAACCCAGAACAUGAGAAAGG
rnacentral:lncRNA from 1 species